AUACGAAGGGGGCUAGCGUUGCUCGGAAUUACUGGGCGUAAAGGGAGCGUAGGCGGACAUUUAAGUCAGGGGUGAAAUCCCGGAGCUCAACUCCGGAACUGCCCUUGAUACUGGGUGUCUUGAGUGUGAGAGAGGUAUGUGGAACUCCGAGUGUAGAGGUGAAAUUCGUAGAUAUUCGGAAGAACACCAGUGGCGAAGGCGACAUACUGGCUCAUUACUGACGCUGAGGCUCGAAAGCGUGGGGAGC
rnacentral:rRNA from 1 species